UGGGGAAUAUUGCACAAUGGGCGAAAGCCUGAUGCAGCGACGCCGCGUGAGGGAUGACGGCCUUCGGGUUGUAAACCUCUUUCAGCAGGGAAGAAGCGAAAGUGACGGUACCUGCAGAAGAAGCGCCGGCUAACUACGUGCCAGCAGCCGCGGUAAUACGUAGGGCGCAAGCGUUGUCCGGAAUUAUUGGGCGUAAAGAGCUCGUAGGCGGUUAGUCGCGUCUGCUGUGAAAACUCGAGGCUCAACCUCGGGCUUGCAGUGGGUACGGGCUGACUAGAGUGCGGUAGGGGUGACUGGAAUUCCUGGUGUAGCGGUGGAAUGCGCAGAUAUCAGGAGGAACACCGAUGGCGAAGGCAGGUCACUGGGCCGCAACUGACGCUGAGGAGCGAAAGCAUGGGGAGCGAACAGGAUUAGAUACCCUGGUAGUCCAUGCCGUAAACGUUGGGCACUAGGUGUGGGGUCCAUUCCACGGAUUCCGUGCCGCAGCAAACGCAUUAAGUGCCCCGCCUGGGGAGUACGGCCGCAAGGCUAAAACUC
rnacentral:rRNA from 1 species